rnacentral:rRNA from 1 species
UGGGGAAUCUUGGACAAUGGGCGCAAGCCUGAUCCAGCCAUGCCGCGUGGAUGAUGAAGGCCUUAGGGUUGUAAAAUCCUUUCGUGGGGGACGAUAAUGACGGUACCCCAAGAAGAAGCUCCGGCUAACUUCGUGCCAGCAGCCGCGGUAAUACGAAGGGGGCUAGCGUUGUUCGGAUUUACUGGGCGUAAAGCGCGUGUAGGCGGGUCGUUAAGUUGGGGGUGAAAUCCCGAGGCUCAACCUCGGAACUGCCUUCAAAACUGGCGACCUGGACCCAAGUAGAGGCAAGUGGAAUUGCGAGUGUAGAGGUGAAAUUCGUAGAUAUUCGCACGAACACCAGUGGCGAAGGCGACUUGCUGGACUUGUGGUGACGCUGAGACGCGAAAGCGUGGGGAGCAAACAGGAUUAGAUACCCUUGUAGUCCCUGAGCGGGCUGGCAAGGCGCAU